CCCUAGCCCUGAUGGGAACGGCAUCCUUUUGUGCCGGGGUUCGGCACAAAAGAUACAGUGGACAGCAGGAAUCAGC
rnacentral:sRNA from 1 species